rnacentral:rRNA from 1 species
UACACACCGCCCGUCACACCAUGGGAGUUUGUUGCACCAGAAGUAGGUAGCUUAACCGCAAGGGGGGCGCUUGCCACGGUGUGGCCGAUGACUGGGGUG